CGCGUAGGCGGCCUGUUAAGUCUGAAGUGAAACUCCCGCUUUUAAGGUGGGAACUGCUUUGGAUACUGAUGGGCUUGAGUGCAGGAGAGGUAAGCGGAAUUCCCGGUGUAGCGGUGAAAUGCGUAGAGAUCGGGAGGAACACCAGUGGCGAAGGCGGCUUACUGGACUGUAACUGACGCUGAGGCGCGAAAGUGUGGGGAGCAAACA
rnacentral:rRNA from 1 species